UAAAUUGUACCUGCAGAGCCUCAUUAUACUGCUCAAAUUGUUAAAACGGGUUACUUGUUGCGUGGAGUGGUUACAUCGUGCUUUGAGAAUAAACCAACAAAGAAGUUGAACCUGGAGCAGAUUGAGGAGGACUUUACGAUGCAUAAAGCUCACAAAUUGCGGAGUGUAUGUGUAGAGGGGCCAGACCGUACUCUGCAGCGCUGUGGAGAUAGGUCUGAUGGGGCCGUGCCAGGCAAUGCAGACUUCAUGGCUGUCGACUUCACUUGCAUGUGAUUGGCAAGUCAGACAUUUCGGAAUGAUGGAUGUGUUUUCCCUGCUGACGCUUUAUUUGACACAACUGUUAAAAAAAAAAAAGACUGAAUACAGCCCUACAGUGUCAGGCAGAAUCUCUCUGGUGUAUAUGAUACUUCACUACACUUC